UUAACAUCUUUGACAAAUUUGCUUAACCGUAGAUUAGGUGCAGCCUAGAGUACGAGUGUUGGUCGUCAUCGGACGAUUGUAUAAAAGGAAGAAAA